GACGAACCGUACGAACGUUAUUCGGAAUCACUGGGCUUAAAGGGUGCGUAGGCUGCGCAGCAAGUUGGGUGUGAAAUCCCUCGGCUUAACCGAGGAACUGCGCCCAAAACUGCUGUGCUCGAGGGAGAUAGAGGUGAGCGGAACUUAGGGUGGAGCGGUGAAAUGCGUUGAUAUCCUAAGGAACACCGGUGGCGAAAGCGGCUCACUGGAUCGCGUCUGACGCUGAGGCACGAAAGCUAGGGUAGCGAACGGG
rnacentral:rRNA from 1 species